rnacentral:rRNA from 1 species
UACGGGAGGCAGCAGUGGGGAAUAUUGCACAAUGGGCGAAAGCCUGAUGCAGCUAUGCCGCGUGUAUGAAGAAGGCCUUAGGGUUGUAAAGUACUUUCAUCGGGGAGGAAAAAACAAAACUAAUAAUUUUAUUUCUUGACGUUACCCGAAAAAGAAGCACCGGCUAACUCCGUGCCAGCAGCCGCGGUAAUACGGAGGGUGCUAGCGUUAAUCAGAAUUACUGGGCGUAAAGAGCACGUAGGUGGUUUUUUAAGUUCAGAUGUGAAAUCCCUGGGCUUAACCUAGGAACUGCAUUUUGAAACUGAAAUACUAGAGUAUCGUAGAGGGAGGUAGAAUUCUAGGUGUAGCGGUGAAAUGCGUAGAUAUCUGGAGGAAUACCUGUGGCGAAAGCGGCCUCCUAAACGAAUACUGACACUGAGGUGCGAAAGCGUGGGGAGCAAACGAGGGAUUAGAUACC